rnacentral:miRNA from 4 species
CAAAGCGCUUCCCUUUGGAGC